GACGAACGCUGGCGGCGUGCUUAACACAUGCAAGUCGAGCGGUAAGGCCCUUCGGGGGUACACGAGCGGCGAACGGGUGAGUAACACGUGGGUGACCUGCCCUCAGCUCUGGGAUAAGCCCGGGAAACUGGGUCUAAUACUGGAUAUGACUCCAUGACGCAUGGUUGUGGGGUGGAAAGCCUUGUGCGGCUAGAGAUGGGGCCCGCAGCCUAUCAGCUUGUUGGGGGGUGAUGGCCUACCAAGGCGACGACGGGUAGCCGGCCUGAG
rnacentral:rRNA from 1 species